rnacentral:rRNA from 1 species
GUCUAGGACCAUACCACCCUGAAUGCGCCCGAUCUUGUCUGAUCUCGGAAGCUAAGCAGGCUCGGGCCUGGUUAGCAAGUACUUGGAUGGGAGGCAGAGCUGCCUUCAGUGGGUCAGCAGAAAAUGUGUUUUGUGCA